UACGGAGGGUGCGAGCGUUGUCCGGAAUCACUGGGCGUAAAGGGCGCGUAGGCGGCUCAUGAAGGCUGUGGUGAAAGUCCGGGGCUCAACCUCGGAUCGGCCGUGGCGACUGGUGGGCUGGAGCACUGUAGAGGCGGGUGGAAUUCCGGGUGUAGCGGUGAAAUGCGUAGAGAUGUGGAGGAAUACCGAUGGCGAAGGCAGCCCCCUGGGUCAAUACUGACGCUCAUGCACGAAAGCGUGGGGAGCAAACAGG
rnacentral:rRNA from 1 species